GACAUCAACUGAUACACGCACAGGGCUCGCAGCAGAGAUGCGCUAACGCUCAAUUUUAUGCUCAUGAGCUGGAAAGCAACACCUCCCUGGCUGUGUUGUCAUGUUCACUUACCUGUCAAUCAGGGGGCCCCCUCCCUGGAAGUACCUCCUCUUACCCAGGACGUGGGGGUGGUACCCCAUGAACACUUCAUUUUUCUAAGAUCAUAAAAAACCCAGGUGGAACGGAAGCACUUUCUCCCCUCCUCAUGGACUCUGGACGAGCAGAGCCAGGACAGGUGAACAGGCCUCCCAGGGGUGCCAUCUCAUGAAGACCAAGCCUAACAGGAGACACCCCCAGGGAAAGAUGACAACCUCGGGUGGAAGCUGUCCAACACGACACAGUCCUUGCACUGGAAGACAGCUCUGCCAAGAGGAGGCGGCUCUUAGAACAGCCCCAGGUCUUGGCCUUGGCUCAACUGCAGACACACACCCAGUGGUAGCAGCUCUCCUGCUUCCAACGAAUACACAAAUACAAAACUAA